rnacentral:lncRNA from 1 species
CCUUUUAUACACAAUACCAGAAAUGUUAUAUGGAAAGAGUACUACUGCAACUCUCGAUCAAACUUAUAGUUGGAGUCAUAAAUUAAGGAGAUGAUGAUGGAUUGUAUGAUGCCAUAACAUUCUCUAAUAUCCUCCCUUCAACAGAAGAUGGGAGAUGAGUGGAGAGUUUGAGGUGAGAGGUGAGAGGAGUGUGGUAAUAGCAUAUUUGCAAUUUGAUGUUUUUGAAUGAAGUGAAGAUAUCUUUAUAAACAAACUUUUCUCUCAAGUAAAAUGAUCAACUUCAAUAUGUUUGGUGCAAACCAUAGAAGACAAGAUUGUUAGCCAGUGGUAUUGAGCAAAAAAUUUCGCACUACGAUGUUGGAGGAGUACGUAAUGGAACAUGAA